rnacentral:tRNA from 10 species
CAGGGAGCCGCAGGCAAGGGACUAAGGGGAGGGGGGCUCAGUGCCAGCUGCUUAAAAAUGCCCCUGUGGCAGCGAGGGGCACCAGAGGCUGGGUCUAAUUAGUUGAGAAGCAGUGACACCCCCAACCACUCCCCAAACAGGCUGGCUCCCGUCUCCAGGCCCCAAGGAGCCACACCUGGACCAGACCCCAGGAAAGACAUGUGGUGGAAACCCUACGGCCCUGGAGCCCAAGGAGAGCAACGGCUGUAACAAGUGCACAGGCAAGGGCGCUAGCUGGUGGGAGCCACCCCGCCAUGCUGAUGUCAGAGAAGCAAGAACUCUGGAGAAGCAGCCUCCUGGGACCAGAGGAGGGCCAGCAGCAGGCAGCCCGGAGACAGAACUCUCACCCACGCCUCUCCAAGCCUCCCAACAGAAGACAGAGGUCCCCCACAGCCAGAGACAUUUCCUGAAGACAUGGGGAACACAGAGGCAGAAACAGCCCAUCCACCCAGGAGCUGUCCCCCACACUGCCGGGAGCCGGCACCCAGAGCCGCCAGGUAAAACUGAGGCCACCUGGUUCAACAUCACCUUUCACAGAAGGGGAAGCAGCCACAGAAAGAAGGGCCUCGUUAAGAAGUGGAACCUGGGACCCCCAAGCGGUGUCUCUCAUCCUGACUGGGGAUCCAGAGUAGGAGGGAGCCUUUGGUGGGACACAAAGGAACAGAACGAGGCACCAACAGCAAGGGGCAAGCAGAUUCAAGGGCCACAGAGGAGAUGGAGGCAAACACCUUCCCCUGGUCAGAGGCUGUGCCUCAGCCCUUCUCCCUGCAUCAGUUUCUCCUUCAGAAGCAUGGGACUACCUCCCAUCUAGUUCUCGUUUCUAAACCUAGGGGAGAUGCUAUCUUUGCUGCAAUAAUCUUAGCCUACAUCUUGGAAUGGAAAUGGCCUUGGUGGAAAUGGUCUUCAACUCCUCUGGUCCAAGCUCAGGCCCUGUGACCCUGGAACAAUCCCCUUCCUGGUCCUCCAUGUAGGAGCAAUAACAUUCCCUUGCCAGCAGCACCAGCCAUUCUGAUGAUUAAAUGGUAUCGGACUCUGUUUUCCAAACUCAGUCAUUCAGAUGCCCCCUAUUUUAUUUCUUCCAUGUCUGCAAAUGAUUAUAAUAUUUUUAAAUGUAGGAUGAGUCCUUUUUAUUACACAUAGAAAUAGCUACUGUAAAUAGCAAACUCUAACACUGUGCCUAAUUAGGAAAUAAAGGUAACCAUAAAUACAGUAAAAAUGAAACAAUGUUAUUAUGGUUUAACCUGAUAGUGUGGCUUGCAAGGCCCUGGGCCUGAAGCCUGGGCAAUAAGUGAGAGUUAGAAAGGUGUCAAAGACAUGAUAGCAGCAAACUGAGGCUUUGUACCCCACGGUAAAUAGGACUGAAAGCAAAUUCACAGGGAGCAACUGAUCCAUUCCACAACAGAAUGCUCCCUGUCAAUUCGCUUUCCAUUCUGUUGUGUCCUGUCUCCCAGCAGAGACUACAAACUCCCCAAAACCACUUACCCACCAGCUGCACGUGAGAAGCCAAAGGUAGUUUAUGUGAAAGGGCUUUGGAAAUAAUCACGCACCAAGUGAAGGCAGAGGACACACCUUGUCAGCUUAGUUCUCAGCAGCAAAUCAUCUCUUUUCCAGGAUAACCCUCCCUGAUUCUUAUUGAAAUCUCUUUGCUGACCACACUAAGCUCUUCUCUCUCAGGGGCAGUGGGAGCCGUGGAGAGUGGAAUAGACCAGCUGUCUGUGACCUGCGAGGGAGUCCAAUGUCGGAAUCACUCCCCAGCCAAAUGCACGGUUUUAAAAAAUCUAUUUAUUUAUUUAUGUAGAGACCAGGCUAUGAGACUGGCUAAUUUUUCGUAUUUUUGGAUAGAGACAGGAUUUCAUCGUGUUGCCCAGGCUGGUCUUGAACUCCUGGGCUCAAGCGAUCCACCUGCCUCGGCUUCCCAAAGUGCUCAGGAUUACAGGCGUGAGCCACUGUGCCCAGCCACCAAAUGCAGUUGAAAAGAGUUUCUGCAAGAUAAUUCCACAGAAGAGGAAAGCAGUUAUCUGGCUGGGAAUACCUUAGACAGAGGCUGUCCUCUACACAGGCUGUCAGAACUGACCUACUGACCUGCCUGCUGGCAUGAUAGACCAGAGGGAAACACUCUUUCCACUCUUCCCAGACUGAGUGUAAGAGACAGACUUUUUUUUUUUUUUUUGAGACGGAGUCUCACUCUGUCACCCAGGCUGGAGUGCAAUGGCAAGAUCUCGGCUCACUGCAACCUCCACCUCCCCGGGUUCAAACCAUUCUCCUGCCUCAGCCUCCCAGGUAGCUGGGAUUACAGGCUCCCGCCACCACGCCUGGCUAAUUUUUGUAUUUUUAGUAGAGACAGGGUUUCACCAUGUUGGCCGGGCUGGUCUCGAACUCCCAACCUCAGGUGAUCCGCCUACCUUGGCCUCCCAAAGGGUUGGGAUUACAGGUGUAAGCCACUGCUCCCAGCCUUUUUUUUUUUUUUUAUUAGAGACAAGGGCUCCCCAUGUUGCCCAGGCUGAUCUUGAACUCUAGGCUCAAGCGAUCCUCCUGCCUGAGCCUCCCAAAGUGCUAGGAUUACAGGCAUGAGCACUGCUCCCAGCUCUGUUUUUGUUUUUUUAAGGAGGUAUAUUUUUUCUGUUCUCUCUCAGCCCUGAAGAAAGGCUACCCAUCCCCUUCAGACAUUCCUGAAAAUAUAUGUCAUCCAACAUCAAGGCCACCACAGUGACCACUAAGCAAUGCAAGAAGGUCCUCUGGGGUGCCCUGAGAUCUUGGCAGGGCAGGAAGAGUGAGAAGGGGCUUUGCCUGCUCACCUGAAAGUUCCCACCCAAGCCGGGCCCAGAAAACAAAAUGAAUUAUCUACAUGGUCAUCCAAUCAGCCACCAAAUGGCAUUACCUAGGUCCAUCAUCAUGUACCAAGCCACAGGUCAGACCCAGGGCCCCCCAAAUUAACAAGACACAGGCACUGUCCUCAGGAAGUGGAGAUCUAGCCAGGUCAGACCCACACACAAAUAACACUGAUACUAGAGAUAAUGAGAUUGGGAAUUAUGAUUCAGCCAUUCAACCUGGGCUUAUGUGGCAUCUACACCACCUGGCCCUGAUUUCAGUAGUGAGCACAGUUGACAGGGUCCCUUCCCUUCACAGGUGAGCCAUGUAGUCCACAAGUGGAGGUGGUCGUAAGUGAAAACCACAUUACCAGCAUGGUAAAGGGUUAGAAAGAGGGCACCGGGUGGGCGAGAACAUGAAGCAGGGGGUGCUGAUGGCUAAAGAAGUAAAGGAGGGGCUGGGCACUGUGGUUCAUGCCUAUAAUCCCAGCACUUUGGGAGACCAAGGCGGGUGGAUCACCUGAGGUCAGGAGUUCUAGACCAGCCUGGGCAACGUGGUGAAACCCUGUCUCUACUAAAAAUACAAAAAUUAGCCAGGCAUGGUGGUGCACGCCUGUAGUCCCAGCUACUUGGGAGGCUGGGGCAUGAGAAUUGCUUUAACCCGGAAGGUGGAGUUUGCAGUGAGCCGAGAUCGUGUCACUGCACUCCAGCCUGGGCGACAGAGGGAGACUCUGUCUCAAAAAAAAAAAAAAGUCAAGGAGGGUUUCCCAGAGUGGCCACUUGAUUAGAGACCUAGCACAGGAGGAAGAGAUGGGCAGGGAGAGUGACGGGGAGCAGCACAGUCCCUGGGAGCCCGAAGUGGGUGGGCACAGGGCUCCCUAGGAGAAUGGAAGGACAUCUAUGAGCUGUAGCCCAAGAGGAAGAGGUCACUGGGGCUAGAUGCGGCAGACCCUCGCAGGCUUUGGGAAGGGCUUCAGAAUUCAGCCUGAGGGCAAUGGGGAGCCCUUUUGGGAUAUUAAACUUGAGUAAGAUAUGAGCAUAUUUGCAUCUUGAAAAAUCAUUAUGGGAAGAUGGCUGGGAAGAGAGGAGGAGUGGCAGAAGAAAGAUAGGUUGGAGACAAUUGAUUGCUCGAUGAUAUAAAAUGUUAAGUACCAUGAAUGAUGCUGUUAGGCUGGAAUGCGCCAAGCAUAAAGGUGGGGCAUGGCAUCAAAAGGUAGGUCAACAUAUUAAAUAAUUCCAUGUAUUGAAAUAUCCAGAAAAUAUAUAGACAGAUCUAUAGAGAUAGAAACUGGUCUGCCCAGGACUAGGGGUUGUCUAAGGAUAAGGAGCUUCUUUUUUGGAUGGUGAAAUAACCUAAAAUAUAUUGUGCCAUUGUUUGCACAACUUUGUGAAUAUAUUAAAAACCUGUUAAUUGUACUCACUAAAUGUCCUCCUUCUAAAUUAAGCUGUUCUUGACAAGAAAAGGAAAGAAACAAAGAAAAGAAGAGAAAAAAGGUCAAGGUUUGGUCCUGGGUGCUCAAAUGGCAGGCCACAGACAGGAAACACAGUUGUGAGGAAUUACAACAGCCUCCCGGCCAGAGCUGGAGAGGUGGAGCCCAGGUCCCCUCUAACACCCCUUCUCCUGGCCAGGUUGGAGUCCCGCCACAGGCCACCAGAGCGGAGCAGCGCAGCGCCCUGUCUCCCAGCCUGAGGUGCAGUGCUGCAUCUCUGGUCAGUUGGGAGUCUGAGAUGAAGCACUGUAGCUCAGGAAGAGAGAAGUUGUUCUGCAGCCAUCAGCCUGGAAGUGUUGCCCCCCAAUGGGGCCUCGGCUGGCUCACAGGAUGAGGGUUCAAGAAGAAGGCUGUCCCUGGAGGUAAGAGGGCUUAUGAACCAUGUUCCAAACCUUUGCGUUGCUUUUCUUUCCAUCGUGUCUAUUUCAUAACAUCCCUGUGAGGCUGGAUGUGGGAACUUCAGCACUGCCGUACUCUUGGGAAAUUUGUCCAAGGCCACCCGGCUGAGCAGCGGUUGAACCAGGACACCAUCAGGCAUGCGUUUCUUGUCUCCACCACACCCUCAACCCACUUCCCAACGCGCCUUGCGACAGGGGCUGCGGUAUUGCAUCCACAUGACUGAUAAACUAGUAAACACACAUGAAUUCAUUUUAAAAGUGUAUUCAAUCAGUUAGGUAAACUAAAAACCUUAAGUCUUCGUUCGAUUUGGAAUGCAGCCAGAGAACAAAUGGAAAAUUUUUCAAGGUAGAGAAGAUGAAAACUCAGAACGCCCUCUUGUGGCAUCUCUACCCACCCUAGGAACACUAUGGCUCUUCCCCUACACAUGGUGAUUGCUAACCUUGCUACAAGACGUUGGACACACACACACACACACACACACACACACACACACUGAGGUUCCUUUUGCCCCCUCACUUUUGAGCCAGUGACUACUGAAACCCUCUCCAUUGUUGCACCACCAGCAAUGCCCCCAUCACUUCCUCUCAUUUACUUCCACAGGCUGGUUCAUCCUCAAAGCCCUCCUUACGUAGAUCUGUGGGAUCAGUGAGGCUCAGAGAGGUAAAGUGGCCAGCCCAAGGUCGCCCAGACAGCAAAAGGCAGGGCCAGCGCUGAUUUCAAGUCCAAUGGCCUAUGGCAAUUUCUUAGCCAAAAGCAAAAUCUACAAAAAUAAAAAGUCAGGCACAGUGGUGAGUGCCUACAGUCCCAGCUACUGAGGAGGCCGACGGGGGAGGACCACUUGAGCUUGGGAGUUCCUGGCUGCAGAGAGCUAUGAUUGUGCCUGUGAAUAGCCAAUGCACUCCAGCCUGAGCAAGAUAGGGAGACCCUGUCUCUAAAAAAUACCUAAAUAAUUUUAAAAGUCAGCCUCUCUGACUGCCUAUAGAGAAUGCUAACUAACUGAAUGACAGAAGACCUAAUGUAAUCCAGGUGCAAAAUCAGAACUUUCCGGCCGGGCGCGGUGGCUCACACCUGUAAUCCCAACACUUUGGGAGGCCCAGGCGGGUGGAUCACGAGGUCAGGAGUUCAAGACCGGCCUGCCCAACAUGGCAAAACCCCGUCUCUACUAAAAAUACAAAAAAUUAGCUGGGCAUGGUGGUGGCCACCUAUAAUCUCAGCUACUCAGGAGGCUGAGGCAGGAGAAUUGCUUGGACCCGGGAGGCAGAGGUUGCAGUGAGCUGAGAUCGCGCCACUGCACUCCAGCGUGGGGGACAAAAGCGAAACUCUGUCUCAAAAAAAAAAAAAUUAGAACUUUCCCCGUACUCUUGCUAGGGCUUUUCAUGGAGAUGUAGAAAUGGUAGUAAGUGCCAAGGCCCCAGAACCCUCAUGUUUGGGUCCGACUCCCACAUUGCCAGAGACUAGGCAGCUCACACAGGUGUCCCAAGCUGUCUUUCUCACAGGCCGCAUUGAAGGCAUUUAUGAAAUGAGACCCCCUCUUCCUCAUCCGUAGUGACAGGGCUGGCCUGACCGUGGAGAAAUCAGAUUUGAUCAUGAUAGCUUCCACUCCGUGACUGGUCACGAUCUGCCAGGCGCUGUGCUAAACACUUUCAUAGGCCUUGUCCCCCUCCAUCCUGAUAACACCCCAGUGAAGCAGGCCCUGCUCUUCACUCCACUCCACAAAGCCAAGGCUGAGAGAGGUUAACAGACUUACCUAAGGUCACACAGCUAAGAAGUCGUGAAGCUGGGAUCGAAUCAAGUCUGUGUUUAUGGGUUUAACUAUCAUGUUGUGGCCCCAACCCCAUUUGACCUAGCCUGGCUGGUGGGCCUUCUUGCAGUAGCUUCCCCUGGAGAAGAGGAAAAGCAAACCUUCAUUGAGACCCAAGCGGUCUCUCCUGUGCUCUGUGACAAUAAUAAAGUUCCAGCCCUUGGCUCCUGUCCUGUUUCUUUCUGGGAAUUUGGGGAAGGGGGGAGGUGGCGAAGGCAGGGAAAGAACCUGACAGGCCCAGCUGAACACCCCCAAGUGGCUCCACACAGCCACUUUGG